rnacentral:rRNA from 1 species
UUAAGCGUGUAGGCUGGUUUUCCAGGCAAAUCCGGAAAAUCAAGGCCGAGGCGUGAUGACGAGGCACUACGGUGCUGAAGCAACAAAUGCCCUGCUUCCAGGAAAAGCCUCUAAGCAUCAGGUAACAUCAAAUCGUACCCCAAACCGACACAGGUGGUCAGGUAGAGAAUACCAAGGCGCUUGAGAGAACUCGGGUGAAGGAACUAGGCAAAAUGGUGCCGUAACUUCGGGAGAAGGCACGCUGAUACGUAGGUGAAGCGACUUGCUCGUGGAGCUGAAAUCAGUCGAAGAUACCAGCUGGCUGCAACUGUUUAUUAAAAACACAGCACUGUGCA